rnacentral:rRNA from 1 species
GACGAACGCUAGGCGGCGGCGCCUAACACAUGCAAGUCGAACGAGUGGAACCCCUUCGGGAGGUGAAGCUAAGUGGCGGACGGGUGAGUAACACGUGAGGAACCUGUCUCUCAGAGUGGGAUACCGUUUGGAAACGAACGUUAAUACCGCAUAACGUACAAUUGUCGCAUGGCAUUUGUACCAAAGAUUUAUCGCUGAGAGAUGGCCUCGCGUCUGAUUAGAUAGUUGGUGAGGUAACGGCCCACCAAGUCUACGAUCAGUAGCCGGACUGAGUGGUUGAUCGGCCACAUUGGGACUGAGACACGGCCCAG